rnacentral:pre_miRNA from 7 species
UGCUAGUGUAGGACCCCCAAUAUGGGGACCCACACUCUAGUCCAGGGAUAGGGUGCACCCAUGAACACGCAAGAAUCC